AGAGUUUAUUUGAGGUCACAGUUUGUAGAAUUUUCAGUCCGUAGCUGGCUCCGUGGCGACACAGCCGGCGGCACAGUGGAGAAGCGGUCCACGGCAGGCUGGAGGCAGCGCGGCAGCAAACGACACGCGAGCGCUGUCCGAAGCCGUUCUGGCAGUCCUCUUCUGCCAUGAAGGUCAUGACCACAGGCCCUUCACCCAACCCCGAGGACUCUUCAGGCCCACUGUCGCCAGUGUCACAUCUGGGACUCCCCUGACCACAUAGAUGGCUCUGUACAGCUCUGGCAGCAGCUCAGGCCUGCAAGCAACUCCGAGGCUAACUCGGACCUUCGCACCCAGGGAGACCAAGCUUCACUUCUGCACCGAGUCCUGUACUAAGCAGGGCUGCAGACCUCCAGGUUCCUGCCACCCUUCUGGUCUCACAUGCAUCUUCCUGGAGGUGGCAGGCCCUCCCCUGGUGGCUUUCUUAGCUCUUGUUGCUUUUGCUGUCUUCUGCUGCCUUG